rnacentral:rRNA from 1 species
CUACACUCGUGCUACAAUGGCCAUUACAAUGGGUUGCCAAGCCGCAAGGCGGAGCUAAUCCCAUCAAAAAUGGUCCCAGUUCGGAUUGAGGGCUGAAACUCGCCCUCAUGAAGUUGGAAUCGCUAGUAAUCGCGCAUCAGCUAUGGCGCGGUGAAUACGUUCUCGAGUCUUGUACUCACCGCCCGUCACUUCAAGGAAGCCGGGAAUACCUGAAAACUCAGCUUGCUGGGGUUAAGGUAAAUUCGGUGACACGGAAGAAGUCGUAACAAGGCACGCGUAGCGGAAGCUGUGCGUGGAUCA